UGCGCAGGCGGGCUUGUAAGUCAGUGGUGAAAUUUUGCGGCUUAACCGUAAAACUACCAUUGAUACUGCAAGUCUUGAAUAUGGUUGAGGUAGGCGGAAUGUGUUGUGUAGCGGUGAAAUGCAUAGAUAUGACACAGAACGCCGAUUGCGAAGGCAGCUUACUAAGCCAUGAUUGACGCUGAGGCACGAAAGCGUGGGGAGCGAACAGGAUUAGAUACCCUGGUAGUC
rnacentral:rRNA from 1 species